rnacentral:rRNA from 1 species
CCUACGGGAGGCAGCAGUGGGGAAUAUUGGACAAUGGGGGCAACCCUGAUCCAGCAAUGCCGCGUGAGUGAUGAAGGCCUUAGGGUUGUAAAGCUCUUUUACCAGGGAUGAUAAUGACAGUACCUGGAGAAUAAGCUCCGGCUAACUCCGUGCCAGCAGCCGCGGUAAUACGGAGGGAGCUAGCGUUGUUCGGAAUUACUGGGCGUAAAGCGCACGUAGGCGGUUACUCAAGUCAGAGGUGAAAGCCCGGGGCUCAACCCCGGAACUGCCUUUGAAACUAGGUAACUAGAAUCCUGGAGAGGUGAGUGGAAUUCCGAGUGUAGAGGUGAAAUUCGUAGAUAUUCGGAAGAACACCAGUGGCGAAGGCGGCUCACUGGACAGGUAUUGACGCUGAGGUGCGAAAGCGUGGGGAGCAAACAGGAUUAGAUACCCGUGGUAGUCCACGCCGUAAACGAUGAUAACUAGCUGUCCGGGCACAUGGUGUUUGGGUGGCGCAGCUAACGCAUUAAGUUAUCCGCCGUGGGGAGUACGGUCGCGAAGAUUAAACNCAAAUGAAUUGACGG